GCAAGUCGAGGGGUAACAGGAGAGCUUGCUCUUGCUGACGACCGGCGCACGGGUGAGUAACGCGUAUGCAACCUGCCCACUACUGGAGGAUAGCCCGGGGAAACCCGGAUUAAUACUCCAUAAUACCAUAAAGCGGCAUCGUUUAAUGGUUAAAGCUUCGGCGGUAGUGGAUGGGCAUGCGUGCCAUUAGCUAGUUGGUGAGGUAACUGCUCACCAAGGCUACGAUGGCUAUGGGGUCUAAAAGGAUGGUC
rnacentral:rRNA from 1 species